rnacentral:rRNA from 1 species
UGGCUCUGCGGCUUAUCAGGUUGUAGUGAGGGUAACGUCCUCACUAGCCUAUGACGGGUACGGGCCCUGAGAGGGGAAGCCCGGAGAUGGACUCUGAGACACGAGUCCAGGCCCUACGGGGCGCAGCAGGCGCGAAAACUCCGCAAUGCUCGAAAGAGUGACGGGGGGAUUCCAAGUGCCUACGCUCAGCGUAGGCUGUUCAGAUGCCUAAAAAGCAUCUGGAGUAAGGGCUGGGUAAGACGGGUGCCAUCUGUGGCAGCAGCCGAAAAUUUGGCUUGCUACUGCAAGGCAUAAGCCGCCGCGGUAAUACCCGCAGCUCGAGUGGUAGUCGAUUUUAUUGGGCCUAAAGCGUCCGUAUCCGGUCUGGUAAAUGCUUGGGUAAAUCGUCUGGCUUAACCAGAUGAAUUCCGGGUAGACUACCAGACUUGGGACCGGUUGAGGAAGAGGGUACUUCAGGGGUAGGAGUGAAAUCCUGUAAUCCUUGAAGGACCACCAGUGGCGAAGGCGCUCUUCUAGGACGGGUCCGACGGUGAGGGACGAAAGCCAGGGGAGCAAACCGGAUUAGAUACCCGGGUAGUCCUGGCCGUAAACGAUGUGGGCUUGGCAUUGGGGGUUCUACGUGAGCGCCCAGUGUCGUAGC